GUGAAAUUUCUGCUGAGUUACAGGCUAUUCCAGAUCUGAUAAUUGGCAAUUAUAGUGAUGGGAAUCUCGUUGCAUCAUUAUUGGCUUAUAAGCUUGGAGUCACACAGUGUACAAUUGCACAUGCAUUGGAGAAAACAAAAUAUCCAGAUUCAGACAUAUAUUGGAA